rnacentral:rRNA from 1 species
AUGGCAGGAGACGCCGCACCCGAGAUCAAGCCGGAGCAGGUCGUGGCCGCCAUCGGAGAUCGCACCAAGAAGAUGGACCUGCUAGCCACGCAGUUCGCCGCCGGGCCACACCCUAUCCCCGAGGAGCGCCUGACGCGCCUGCGCAACCUCCAGGCCGCGAUCUCCGCCGAGCUCGACGACCUCGCCGUCGUCCUCGACGGCGUCAGCCGAGGCGACCUCACGUUCAUGGAGCAGAUCCCGCCGGCCCGGCUGGACAAGCUCCUCGGCGCCAGGACGGAUCGGGUCGCCAGGCUCCGCGGCGUCCCGCUCGAAAGAAGGCUGGACGCGGAAUCGUGCGCGCUCGCGUUCGUUGUCGCGUUGGGGAAGCCUAUGCCCGCCUUCUCUGCCCGCGCUGUCACGGCGGCUUCCGACGCUCCGCCAUCUGCCAGCGGUCAGGCGGCGGCGGCGGCUGCCUCCAAGGACUUGGCAAGGUUACAGAUCUGA